rnacentral:rRNA from 1 species
GAGUUUGAUCUUGGCUCAGGAUGAACGCUGGCGGCGUGCCUAAUACAUGCAAGUCGAGCGAACAGACGAGGAGCUUGCUCCUCUGACGUUAGCGGCGGACGGGUGAGUAACACGUGGAUAACCUACCUAUAAGACUGGGAUAACUUCGGGAAACCGGAGCUAAUACCGGAUAAUAUAUUGAACCGCAUGGUUCAAUAGUGAAAGACGGUUUUGCUGUCACUUAUAGAUGGAUCCGCGCCGCAUUAGCUAGUUGGUAAAGUAACGGCUUACCAAGGCAACGAUGCGUAGCCGACCUGAGAGGGUGAUCGGCCACACUGGAACUGAGACACGGUCCAGACUCCUACGGGAGGCAGCAGUAGGGAAUCUUCCGCAAUGGGCGAAAGCCUGACGGAGCAACGCCGCGUGAGUGAUGAAGGUCUUCGGAUCGUAAAACUCUGUUAUUAGGGAAGAACAAAUGUGUAAGUAACUAUGCACGUCUUGACGGUACCUAAUCAGAAAGCCACGGCUAACUACGUGCCAG